AGCGAACGCUGGCGGCAGGCCUAAAACAUGCAAGUCGAGCGCUCGUAGCAAUACGGGAGCGGCAGACGGGUGAGUAACACGUGGGAACGUACCCUUUGGUUCGGAACAACCCAGGGAAACUUGGGCUAAUACCGGAUAAGUCCGCAAGGAGAAAGAUUUAUCGCCGAAGGAUCGGCCCGCGUCUGAUUAGCUUGUUGGUGAGGUAACGGCUCACCAAGGCGACGAUCAGUAGCUGGUCUGAGAGGAUGAUCAGCCACACUGGGACUGAGACACGGCCCAGACUCCUACGGGAGGCAGCAGUUAGGAAUCUUGGACAAUGGGCGCAAGCCUGAUCCAGCCAUGCCGCGUGAGUGAUGAAGGCCCUAGGGUUGUAAAGCUCUUUCAGCGGGGAAGAUAAUGACGGUACCCGCAGAAGAAGCCCCGGCUAACUUCGUGCCAGCCGCCGCAGUAAAAC
rnacentral:rRNA from 1 species